CUUAAAUGUAACAGUGUUUGAGUAAGAUGAAUCUGACACUCGUGCAUAGUGAGGACAACGAAAUGAGGGAGCCAUAGAAGAGAUGGCAGAAGAGAAAAGCAAUGGAAAAUGCAAGAGAACUAAGCAGCAGAAACCGGGAGAGGACAUUCAGACUGGACUCUGGAGUCUUGGAUCAAGGAAUGAUGCCUGCUAACAUCCUCAGUUCUCUGCCCUCUCCUGUCAGCUUGCCACAAUAACGUCUCCUUGCUCUGGGGCAGCCUGCAUCCAAGCUGUGGUUGAUGUGGAGGUGAGGGCUGGAGAGUGGGUUAUAAAAGCUCGAAGUCUUUGUUUCAGUUGAGGAAAUAUCUGAAGGGCUAUCCCAGCUUCCAACUUCGGAAUGUCCCUUGUUAUGAC
rnacentral:lncRNA from 1 species